GAGAGUACAGCCUCCGUGUGUGUUGGUGUGUAGAUGUGAGUGUACGGUGAGGAAUUCAGCUGCUGGAUGAGUUUUUUCUGCGAGAGAAACUUAUUUUUUUUGGCGUCCACGUCUUGAAGCGAGGAGGACAAAUGCGAAAAUGCGAGAAGAAAUCCAGGAAGAGGCGAGCGAGUGCUUAUUAAAAAUUCAGCGCGGGAGAACAGACGUUAUUACCCGUUCGGAGGACUUGUGGCAGCACCGAGGAUAAACUCCACUUCUAACGGGAUAAAGCGUUGUUGAAUGGGGUGAAACGAAGCGGAUUUUUUCCCUCCUAAAGAUAGCAAGUCCAGGAAGAAAAAAAAAUCCAAGCGGUCGAAACCCAGAAGGAAAGGGGAGUAAAAAGGGGGCAAAGAAAACGCCCUGCUUUGCUGCCUGUUGCUGGUAAAUUCAAACUUUAUCGCCAAGUUUAAAAAAUGCAUCUUCCACUUAACGAGAGGUGAUAGUUCAAGUCGUCAUUCCUAGCUUAAAGCCGGGCGGGUUUGCUAACUGACGGCCCCCUCUCACUUGGCAAGUUUUAUGUUUUUGGAAGCAUUGGGAAUAUUUUCUCCUCGUUGUGCACACCAUUCCUGUUGGAAGCGAUUUGGGUGGGCUGGGAGCCCAAAGGCUGCUCCGCCAGGCCUGCGGCCAUUAGCCAGGAACAAAGAGGGUUCACAUGUAAACUCAAACAGUUUGGAAAAGCCUCUUCAUUAGUUUUUAAAACCCAACUUUUAACCACCAACGACGGCGCAGUCAUGUCGCUGGGCGCCGAGAGGAGGAUGGAAACCCGGCUGAAGAAGCUGGAGGACAUGAUCAGAGACCCCAGAUCUGCCAUAAACCUGGAAAGUUUACUGGACUCCAUGAAUGCGCUGGUCUUAGACUUGGGCUACCCUGCACUACGAAAGAACAAAAACAUUGAGACCUUCUUAAACAGAUAUGAGAAAGUCAUUGGCCAGAUUCGAGAUCUGCAGAUGAAGUCUGAAGACUUUGACAGAGUUAAAGUGAUUGGCCGAGGAGCAUUUGGUGAAGUGCAACUGGUCAGACAUAAAGCCUCACAGAAGGUCUACGCAAUGAAGCUGCUCAGCAAAUUUGAGAUGAUAAAACGCUCAGACUCAGCAUUCUUCUGGGAAGAGAGAGAUAUCAUGGCUUUUUCCAACAGUCCCUGGGUUGUGCAGUUGUGCUCUGCCUUCCAAGAUGACCACUACCUCUACAUGGUGAUGGAGUACAUGCCAGGAGGCGACCUGGUUAACCUCACCAGCACCUAUGAUGUACCGGAGAAGUGGGCCAAGUUCUACACAGCGGAGGUGGUGAUGGCCCUGGACGCCAUUCACUCCAUGGGCUUCAUUCACCGCGAUGUGAAGCCAGACAACAUGCUGCUGGACAGACUCGGACACCUGAAGCUGGCUGACUUUGGCACUUGCAUGAAAAUGGACUCGACCGGCAUGGUGCACUGUGACACAGCUGUUGGGACUCCAGACUACAUCUCGCCAGAAGUGCUAAAAUCCCAGGGAGGAGAUGGCUAUUAUGGGAGAGAAUGCGACUGGUGGUCCGUAGGGGUCUUCAUUUACGAGUUGCUCGUCGGUGACACGCCGUUCUACGCAGACUCUUUGGUGGGAACAUACAGUAAAAUCAUGGACCACAAGAACUCCCUCAAUUUUCCAGAUGAUGUGGAGAUCUCCAACAAUGCCAAGAAUAUCAUCUGUGCCUUCCUGACUGACAGGGAGGUGCGAUUAGGCAGAAACGGCGUGGAGGAAAUCAAGCGACAUCCUUUCUUCAAAAAUGACCAGUGGACCUUUGACACCAUCAGAGACACGGUUGCCCCUGUGGUCCCAGAGCUGAGCAGUGACAUAGACACCAGCAACUUUGAUGAGAUAGAAGACGACAAAGGCGAUGUAGAAACCUUCCCCACACCUAAGGCAUUUGUCGGCAAUCAGUUACCCUUUGUUGGCUUCACCUACUUCAAAGAAGACCAGUUAUUAAAUGCUUCCAACAACUCAGUGGCUCAUGAGAAUUCAAAAGGGGAGUCAGCAGCACUGCAGAAGAAACUUCGCCACCUAGAGAUGCAGAUGAAUAAUGACAAGCAAGUCAAAGAUGAUCUAGAGCAAAAAUACAGGGCCACCACCACUCGUCUGGAAAAGCUCUCCAAAGAACUUGAGGAAGAGGUGAGCAGCAGAAAGAACCUGGAGUCGAGUCUGAGGCAGCUGGAGAGGGAGAAGGCUCUGCUGCAGCACAAAAGCCUGGAGAGCCACCGCAAGGCUGAGAGCGAGGCCGACAGGAAGCGCUGUCUGGAGAACGAAGUCAACAGCCUCAGAGACCAGCUGGAUGACAUGAAGAAGCGAAACCAAAACUCUCACAUUUCCAAUGAGAAGAACAUUCACCUCCAGAAACAGCUGGAAGAAGCCAACACGUUGUUGCGGGCCGAGACGGAGGCGGCGACGAGACUCCGCAAAGCCCAAACUGAGAGCAGCAAGCAGCUGCAGCAGCUGGAGGCCAACGUGCGCGAGCUGCAGGACAAAUGCUGCCUGCUGGAGCGCAGCAAGCUGAGUCUGGAGAAGGAAUGCAUCAGCCUGCAGGCUGCGCUAGAGACGGAGAGGAGGGAGCACAGCCAGGGCUCGGAAACCAUCACUGACCUGAUGGGACGCAUUUCUGGCCUGGAAGAGGAGGCCCGUCAGCAGAAACAGGCUUUAUCCAAAGCUGAGACUGAGAAGAGGCAGCUUCAAGAGAAACUCACUGAUCUGGAGAAGGAGAAGAGCAACAAGGAGAUCGAUUUGACCUACAAGCUGAAGGUGCUGCAGCAGGAGCUGGAACAGGAGGAGGCCUCUCAUAAGGCCACCAGAGCAAUGCAGGCAGACAAGAGCAAGAUCAAGGUCACCAUCGAGGGCGCCAAGUCAGAGUCCAUGAAGGAGUUGGAGCAGAAGCUGGCAGAGGAGCGAGCUGCCAAACUGCGGCUGGAGAACAGAAUACUAGAGCUGGAGAAGCAGAGCAGCAUGAUGGACUGUGACAACAAACAGGCCCUGCAGAAGCUAGACGAGCUGCGCAGACACAAGGAUCACCUUACUGAGGAGGUGAAGAACCUGACACUGAAGAUCGAGCAGGAGACCCAGAAGCGUAACCUGACUCAGAACGACCUGAAGGCUCAAAACCAGCAGCUCAGUGCUCUGAAAACCUCCGAGAAGCAGCUCAAGCAGGAAACUAAUCACCUGCUGGAUAUUAAGCGCAGCUUGGAGAAGCAGAACCAGGAGCUGCGCAAAGAAAGACAGGACACAGAUGGACAAAUGAAGGAGUUACAAGACCAGUUAGAGGCUGAGCAGUAUUUCUCAACUCUCUAUAAGACCCAGGUUCGUGAGCUGAAGGAGGAAUGUGAGGAGAGGAACAAACUCUACAAAGAAGUGCAGCAGUCUCUGCAGGAGCUGCAGGAGGAGAGGGACUCUUUGGCAGCACAGCUGGAGAUCACUCUGACAAAGGCUGACUCGGAGCAGCUGGCGCGCUCCAUCGCUGAGGAGCAGUACUCCGACCUCGAGAAGGAGAAGAUAAUGAAGGAGCUGGAGCUGAAGGAGAUGAUGGCUCGCCAUCGCCAGGAGCUCUCUGAGAAGGACAUCACCAUCAGCUCUCUGGAAGAAGCUAAUAGGACCCUGACGAGUGAUGUCGCCAAUCUGGCCAAUGAGAAGGAGGAACUGAACAACAAACUGAAGGAGGCAAUAGAGGAAACUGAGAAGUCGAAGGACUGGGAGCAGCAGAUAAGCCAGAUGAAGCAGGCAUUUGAGAAGCAGCUGCAGUGCGAGAGGACGCUAAAAACCCAGGCCGUCAAUAAGCUGGCAGAGAUCAUGAACAGGAAGGAAGUGCGUGGCGGAGGCAGCCGCCGUGGUAACGACACAGACAUGCGGCGAAAGGAGAAGGAGAACAGGAAGCUGCAGCUUGAGCUCAGGUCAGAGAAGGAAAAGCUGAACAGCACCAUCAUCAAAUAUCAGAAGGAGAUCAACGAAAUGCAAGCACAACUGGCAGAUGAGAGCCAGAUGCGCAUUGAGAUGCAGAUGGCUCUGGACAGUAAGGACAGUGACAUUGAGCAGCUGAGAAAUCUCCUGCAGACGCUCAGUGUUCAGUCGAUGGACUCCGCCAGCGUCAGCAGCGGGCCCGAGUUUGAUGCUGAUGAUGCGUACACAGAAAUGAGGCUCGAGGGCUGGCUGUCUCUCCCCGUCAGAAACAAUACCAAGAAGUUUGGAUGGGAGCGAAAGUACGUUGUAGUAAGCAGCAAGAAGAUUCUUUUCUACAACAGCGAGCAAGACAAAGAGCAGUCCAUCCCCAACAUGGUGCUCGAUAUAGAUAAACUCUUCCAUGUGAGACCUGUUACUCAGACAGAUGUGUAUCGAGCUGACUCCAAAGAAAUUCCCAGGAUAUUCCAGAUUCUUUAUGCCAAUGAAGGUGAAAGCAAAAAGGAGCCAGAGUUUCCCGUGGAGCCGCAUCCCAUUGGAGAAAAGUCCAAUUACGUCUGCCACAAAGGCCACGAGUUCAUUCCCACCCUCUACCACUUCCCCACCAACUGUGAGGCCUGCACAAAGCCACUGUGGAACAUGUUCAAGCCGCCCCCUGCUCUGGAGUGCCGGCGUUGCCACAUCAAGUGCCACAAGGAUCACAUGGACAAGAAGGAGGAGAUCAUCGCCCCCUGUAAAGUGAACUACGACAUUUCUACAGCCAAGAACCUGCUCCUGCUCGCCGUGUCCCAGGAGGAGCAGCAGAAGUGGGUGAGCCGGUUGGUCAAGAAGAUUCCCAAAAAGCCUCCACACCCAGAACAGUUCGCACGCUCCUCACCGCGGACCUCCAUGAAGGUUCAGCCCAGCCAGUCCAUGAGGAGGCCCAGUCGACAGCUCCCCACCAGCAAGAGCAGCCCUCGCAGGUCAAAUGGCUUCAAAAUAAAGCGAGAAGAUUCCAGCAGUACCUGGUACAAAUGACAGCUCCUUCCUUCUCCUCCUCCUCCUUGUUCUUCUUUUGACCAGGUGUUUCCCUGUAAACAUCUCAACUUCUCAGUUUAACCUUGCCCGGGAGUGUGGUGCAUCGACGAGGUGGUGGGAAGAGUUUCUUCCUAAAUCAAAGACUCUAUACAAAGCUCCGUUUGCAGAUCAGCACACUGGACUGGUUUCUCCACUGCCCACUCCACCCUGUCCCGUUUCAGCCUGCGAGAGUUACCAAGUCUGGCAUUUUCCAUUUUUAUUCAGCUUGUUUCCAAGCCACUUAGCAAGCUCACCUCAGCAUCUGCCGUCUUUACAGCAAGCUGGGCGUCUCAUAAACAUAUAACCCAAGUCCUCUCCUGGGUCCUUGGCGAGAGCACUUGUGCAGCUCUUGGAUGCUGGAGUAGCUUGUUCGGCUCCCACACAAUGGAGGAUAGCUCUUAUGAGCCUGACCAAGGCUGACAAGAACAGGGGAACACUUACCUUAACAGUUCUCUCCAGGACAGACAGUUCUGUCUGAUUGAAGCAGCCAGCAGGAAACCACCUCCACACCACCUUUGAGGAUUCUCAUGGCCAAAAGAAAAAAAAGACAAUCUUGUGUUUAAUGAUUGUGAACAAUAUGAAGGGUUUAAUGGGGGAACACUACACUCAGAAGAGUCUGUAUUUUUGUUGGCUUAUGGUGUCUGUACUUUCAAACUCUUUAACAUGAUUGUAGCUUCUUGCUUUUCACAGCUCUGCUUUCAGGUGCGUGUCCAUGGGGAAUCUUGAAUAAGGUACUUAGGAACCAAAUGAGCUGUGACUUCAUGGAAAGUCAUUAAGGCAGCAAAUGAAGCCCAGCUUCCUCUCGGAUAUGAGCAAAUAAUUCUCAGAGUGCCUCUUAUUCAGAUUUCUGACUCAUGCACACGCUGAAUCAUGGGUUUGACGUCAAACGACUACAAAGGGAACAGAAUCCUGCUUGAAAUGGCAUUAGAUUAAGACAUGAAGUCCUCACGAUCCCAUAAUCUCUGCAAACCUGCACUGUCAGUUCUGAGGGUUAAUGUUUACUGAAUUCAAAGGGGUGCACCGUUAAUGCUUUCUGAUCCGAGCUCGGCUCCUUCUGUUGUUUUUGAAUGUACAUCUGGGCUUCACCAGAGACGACACACAGGCAUUGUAUUAUCCAAGUAUACUUGACUGAAGCCGCGCCUUUCAUCACAAACUACUCUUGAGUGAACUUGCAUGCGUUUGCUUUUUCACCCACAUGCCUAGUCAUUUUUAGUCAGUACCAAAAGUGAAAAUGAGGGAAGUUAACCAAUAAGAAGCCGAAAUAAUGAAGGUAUCCAAUCAUAUCCUGAAACCAUGAGUGGAAAUACUGAGCAGCACUAUUCCAUUGAAGUUUUUUCUAAAAGUGUUUGUCCUUAUUUUUGUAUUAAAGGAAACCAAACUCUGAGUUUGGGCACAUUGUCGUAUGUAUGUGACUUAGUUAGCAGGUGGAGAGUAAACUGAGUGUGUGUGUGUGUGUGUGUGUGUGUGUAUGUGCACUCUCCUUUAACCAAGAAGCAUGUUUUAUACAUAUAAAUAUACACAGUAUAUAUUUUACAUGCCAUACAGUGCACAUUAUAUUAUUUAUACAGCCUUGUCAACUUUGUAUUUAAGGGUUCUACAUCCAGAUUGCAUGUUUGCUAUCAAACAGCUCUAUGAUAAUAACCACUUCAACAAUAAAGACAUGGAUGUGC